CCUGACUGCUAUCGGAUUGAUACUAAGCCAUGCGAGUCAUUGUAGCAAUACAAGGCAGACGGCUCAGUAACGCGUAGUCAACCUACCCUAUGGACGGGAAUAACCUCGGGAAACUGAGUAUAAUGCCCGAUAGAACAUUAUGCCUGGAAUGGUUUAUGUUCCAAAUGAUUUAUCGCCGUAGGAUGGGACUGCGUCCUAUCAGUUUGUUGGUGAGGUAAUGGCCCACCAAGACUAUUACAGGUACGGGCUCUGAGAGGAGUAGCCCGGAGAUGGGUACUGAGACACGGACCCAGGCCCUAUGGGGCGCAGCAGGCGAGAAAACUUUGCAAUGUGCGAAAGCACGACAAGGUUAAUCCGAGUGGUUUCUGCUAAAGGAACCUUUUGUUAGUCCUAAAAACACUAACGAAUAAGGGGUGGGCAAGUUCUGGUGUCAGCCGCCGCGGUAAAACCAGCACCUCAAGUGGUCAGGAUGAUUAUUGGGCCUAAAGCAUCCGUAGCCUGCCCUGUAAGUUUUCGGUUAAAUCUGUAUGCUCAACAUACAGGCCGCCGGGAAUACUGCAGGGCUAGGGAGUGGGAGAGGUAGACGGUACUCGGGAGGAAGUGGUAAAAUGCUUUGAUCUCUCGAUGACCACCUGUGGCGAAGGCGGUCUACCAGAACACGUCCGACGGUGAGGGAUGAAAGCUGGGGGAGCAAACCGGAUUAGAUACCCGGGUAGUCCCAGCCGUAAACUAUGCAAACUCAGUGAUGCAUUGGCUUGUGGCCAAUGCAGUGUUGCAGGGAAGCCGUUAAGUUUGCCGCCUGGGAAGUACGUACGCAAGUAUGAAACUUAAAGGAAUUGGCGGGGGAGCACCACAAGGGGUGAAGCCUGCGGUUC
rnacentral:rRNA from 2 species